UACGUAGGGGGCUAGCGUUGUCCGGAUUUAUUGGGCGUAAAGAGCGUGUAGGCGGCCAGGUAGGUCCGGUGUGAAAACUCGAGGCUUAACCUCGAGAUGUCAUCGGAAACCAUUUGGCUAGAGUCCGGAAGAGGAGAGUGGAAUUCCUGGUGUAGCGGUGAAAUGCGCAGAUAUCAGGAAGAACACCAAUGGCGAAAGCAGCUCUCUGGGACGGUACUGACGCUGAGACGCGAAAGCGUGGGGAGCGAACAGG
rnacentral:rRNA from 1 species